rnacentral:lncRNA from 1 species
UCGAUUUCACAAAAUAGUCAAGAGUAAUUACACCCACUUCAUUAAAAUCUCGAUUCACCAGUACAACACUGACUUUAGCAACGAUUGCCUCAGUCUUCUCGAAAUCCUAUGAAGAAAAAAAUAACCCAAUUCUCUGUCUUUUUUUUCCCUUCCCGAAGCAUGAAGCUAGCUCUCCGACCCUUCUCAAAAACUUAUUCUCUUCCUUUAUUUCUUAACCUAUCCUCUUCUUUAACCC